GGACGACGCAGUUAGUUGCGUUUAGGACUUGAGGUGUGCGAAACCGAAACUCGCUGCGCUACUACGAUGUCGGACGAGAAUAACCCUGCUGCAAAGAUGAAUCAUAUGGGUAAUGGAAAAUUUGAAUGGAAAUGCAAAAUAAAAAUUUGAUCGAGCUUAUCAAAGCCGUAAAAUCUGCGACACCGGAAACAACAAAUAAAAAAACAAUUGUGCUACCAAAAUUCAACGCAGACCUUGAUGCGCCAUCGGAGUGGUGUUCUACGGUAAAUAUAAUUUUGGCAGAAAAGGCAGUAAAAGGCAGCGCGUUGAGUGCAUCGUUGGAAGUGUGGUGAACUUGGCCAUUUUUCAACACAUUGCAGUAAGAACAAAGUGGAUAAAUUCAAGGAUACACACCAGAUGAAAAGAGUGGAGCUAUGCGAAGUUGUUGAUCCCAAAGGAGAGUUUGUUCAUCAUGGUCAGACGUUUUUAACAAAAUUCGACUCUGGAGCGGAAUGUUCAUUAAUAAAACAAAAGAUAAGUGUCAAAUUAGUUGGUAAAAGAAUUAACAAUAUAGUGAUGUUAAAGGUUGUUUUGGACAAUGAGUAUUUGAAGAAUGAUAUUAUUAUUGAUCGAGAAGUACUGUACCCUGGAUUUAAUGUUAUAAUAUCACCAGGAAAAUUCGAAAUUAUUAGAUAAAAAACUGUAAACUAUUGUUCAUAUGAUGAGAAAUUGUGUGAAUUAGAUGCUGAUCUUGUUGGGGAAAAUAGAGAUAAAUUACAACAUUUAUUGGAAAAUUAUUCAAAAUCUUUUAUUAAUGGAAUUCCUUCGACUAGAGUUAGUUGGUGUGAAAUGAAAAUUAAAUUAGUAGACCCAAGAAAAAUUGUUCAAAGAAGACCAUAUAGGCUUAGCCCAAACGAAAGAGAAUUGGUACGAGACAAGAUUAAUGAAUUAUUACAAUGUAAAAUUAUAAGGCCAAGAUGGCCUUACGCAAGUCCCAUAAUGUUGGUUUACAAAAAAGACGGCACUCAUCGGAAUCGUAACAAUUUAGAACGCAAAAAUCGUAAAUCUAACUGAUUGUAUAAUUAGCGAAAAGAGAAAACGGAAGCGAUAAGCAAAACGAUGCGACAAAUAAAAGCCGGCAAAAACUAAAA